rfam:Flavobacteriales bacterium BRH_c54 BRHa_1005985, whole genome shotgun sequence.
UAGGCGAAACCUGAAAAGCCUUUAAACAGAGUAAGGA